GACGAACGCUGGCGGCGUGCUUAACACAUGCAAGUCGAACGGAAAGGCCCUGCUUUUGUGGGGUGCUCGAGUGGCGAACGGGUGAGUAACACGUGAGUAACCUGCCCUUGACUUUGGGAUAACUUCAGGAAACUGGGGCUAAUACCGGAUAGGAGCUCCUGCUGCAUGGUGGGGGUUGGAAAGUUUCGGCGGUUGGGGAUGGACUCGCGGCUUAUCAGCUUGUUGGUGGGGUAGUGGCUUACCAAGGCUUUGGCGGGUAGCCGGCCUGGGAGGGUGAACGGGCACAAUGGGACUGAGGGACGGCGCAGACUGCUACGGGAGGCAGCAGUGGGGAAUAUUGCACAAUGGGCGGACGCCUGAUGCAACAACCCUGCGGGCGGGAUGCCGGCCUUCGGGUUGUGAACAGCUUUCGCCUGUGACGAAGCGGGAGUGACGGUAAUGGGUGAAGAAGCACCGGCUAACUACGUG
rnacentral:rRNA from 1 species